AUUGAACGCUGGCGGCAGGCCUAACACAUGCAAGUCGGACGGUAGCACAGGGGAGCUUGCUCCUCGGGUGACGAGUGGCGGACGGGUGAGUAAUGUCUGGGGAUCUGCCCGAUAGAGGGGGAUAACCACUGGAAACGGUGGCUAAUACCGCAUAACGUCGCAAGACCAAAGAGGGGGACCUUCGGGCCUCUCACUAUCGGAUGAACGCAGAUGGGAUUAGCUAGUAGGCGGGGUAACGGCCCACCUAGGCGACGAUCCCUAGCUGGUCUGAGAGGAUGACCAGCCACACUGGAACUGAGACACGGUCCAGACUCCUACGGGAGGCAGCAGUGGGGAAUAUUGCACAAUGGGCGCAAGCCUGAUGCAGCCAUGCCGCGUGUAUGAAGAAGGCCUUCGGGUUGUAAAGUACUUUCAGCGGGGAGGAAGGCGAUAAGGUUAAUAACCUUGUCGAUUGACGUUACCCGCAGAAGAAGCACCGGCUAACUCCGUGCCAGCCGCCGCAGUAA
rnacentral:rRNA from 1 species